GCUACUGGUGAUGGCGACCGGCGCACGGGUGAGUAACGCGUAUCCAACCUUCCCAUGACUGGGGAAUAACCUUGCGAAAGUAAGACUAAUACCCCAUGGUUUCCGGGGCGGACAUCCAAUUUGGAAUAAAGAUUCAUCGGUCAUGGAUGGGGAUGCGUCUGAUUAGCUUGUUGGCGGGGUAACGGCCCACCAAGGCGACGAUCAGUAGGGGUUCUGAGAGGAAGGUCCCCCACAUUGGAACUGAGACACGGUCCAAACUCCUACGGGAGGCAGCAGUGAGGAAUAUUGGUCAAUGGACGAGAGUCUGAACCAGCCAAGUAGCGUGCAGGAUGACGGCCCUAUGGGUUGUAAACUGCUUUUAUACGGGAAUAAAGUCAAUCACGUGUGAUUGUUUGUAUGUACCGUAUGAAUAAGGACCGGCUAAUUCCGUGCCAGCAGCCGCGGUAAUACGGAAGGUCCGGGCGUUAUCCGGAUUUAUUGGGUUUAAAGGGAGCGUAGGCCGCCGAUUAAGCGUGUUGUGAAAUGCCGCAGCUCAACUGUGGCACUGCAGCGCGAACUGGUUGGCUUGAGUGCGCGGAAGGCAGGCGGAAUUUGUGGUGUAGCGGUGAAAUGCUUAGAUAUCACGAAGAACCCCGAUUGCGAAGGCAGCUUGCCGCAGCGUAACUGACGCUGAAGCUCGAAAGUGCGGGUAUCGAACAGGAUUAGAUACCCUGGUAGUCCGCACGGUAAACGAUGGAUGCCCGCUGUUCCUGCUAUAUGUUGGAGUGGCC
rnacentral:rRNA from 1 species